CCGACCCGGCCGGAACUCCUCCACGCCGGCGUUGCACGGGCCGAUCGUCCCCAGUUUUGAGUAGUCCUCUUCCUCCUGAUCAUCCCCAUAUAAGGCUUGCAUCACGAUUUGGGGUGUAGAGCGCUAGAUCAAGGUUUGACUCUUUUGAUGGCCCUGAUUCGAUCUAGGAUCUGAUCAGACGCACGAGAUUAAUCCAACUUCCAAUCUUGAUCUAGGACGAUCUAGACCGAAUCUCACUUUGCUCCAGGUAAUUGAUGGUUUUGGUUGAGCGGACGGUUGUGAUAGUGAUUUUGGGCUGUAUUGAAGACGCAGCAGGAUUUGGAGGGGUUAUUGUGCAGGUUUGAAUAUCGAGAGAUCAUUAUCAAAGCUGAGGUGUACGUUCGAUGGCGUGGACGUGGAAGGGUGCUCUUAGUUUUAAGUCUUCCGCUGGGUAGUGAGUUGUGGUGGUGUGUUUACUUAUUGAAUUGUCAUUCAGUUUGAUUUGUAAACUAUCUGUAAUGUAAUAUGUGACUCUAAAGAACGAGUCGGUAUUGACAUUGUGAGUUCAGUUUGUUUGUUACUUAGUUUAA